rnacentral:rRNA from 1 species
AGAGUUUGAUCAUGGCUCAGAUUGAACGCUGGCGGCAGGCCUAACACAUGCAAGUCGAACGGUAACAGGAAGCAGCUUGCUGCUUCGCUGACGAGUGGCGGACGGGUGAGUAAUGUCUGGGAAGCUGCCUGAUGGAGGGGGAUAACUACUGGAAACGGUAGCUAAUACCGCAUAAUGUCGCAAGACCAAAGAGGGGGACCUUCGGGCCUCUUGCCAUCGGAUGUGCCCAGAUGGGAUUAGCUUGUUGGUGGGGUAACGGCUCACCAAGGCGACGAUCCCUAGCUGGUCUGAGAGGAUGACCAGCCACACUGGAACUGAGACACGGUCCAGACUCCUACGGGAGGCAGCAGUGGGGAAUAUUGCACAAUGGGCGCAAGCCUGAUGCAGCCAUGCCGCGUGUAUGAAGAAGGCCUUCGGGUUGUAAAGUACUUUCAGCGGGGAGGAAGGGAGUAAAGUUAAUACCUUUGCUCAUUGACGUUACCCGCAGAAGAAGCACCGGCUAACUCCGUGCCAGCAGCCGCGGUAAUACGGAGGGUGCAAGCGUUAAUCGGAAUUACUGGGCGUAAAGCGCACGCAGGCGGUUUGUUAAGUCAGAUGUGAAAUCCCCGGGCUCAACCUGGGAACUGCAUCUGAUACUGGCAAGCUUGAGUCUCGUAGAGGGGGGUAGAAUUCCAGGUGUAGCGGUGAAAUGCGUAGAGAUCUGGAGGAAUACCGGUGGCGAAGGCGGCCCCCUGGACGAAGACUGACGCUCAGGUGCGAAAGCGUGGGGAGCAAACAGGAUUAGAUACCCUGGUAGUCCACGCCGUAAACGAUGUCGACUUGGAGGUUGUGCCCUUGAGGCGUGGCUUCCGGAGCUAACGCGUUAAGUCGACCGCCUGGGGAGUACGGCCGCAAGGUUAAAACUCAAAUGAAUUGACGGGGGCCCGCACAAGCGGUGGAGCAUGUGGUUUAAUUCGAUGCAACGCGAAGAACCUUACCUGGUCUUGACAUCCACGGAAGUUUUCAGAGAUGAGAAUGUGCCUUCGGGAACCGUGAGACAGGUGCUGCAUGGCUGUCGUCAGCUCGUGUUGUGAAAUGUUGGGUUAAGUCCCGCAACGAGCGCAACCCUUAUCCUUUGUUGCCAGCGGUCCGGCCGGGAACUCAAAGGAGACUGCCAGUGAUAAACUGGAGGAAGGUGGGGAUGACGUCAAGUCAUCAUGGCCCCUUACGACCAGGGCUACACACGUGCUACAAUGGCGCAUACAAAGAGAAGCGACCUCGCGAGAGCAAGCGGACCUCAUAAAGUGCGUCGUAGUCCGGAUUGGAGUCUGCAACUCGACUCCAUGAAGUCGGAAUCGCUAGUAAUCGUGGAUCAGAAUGCCACGGUGAAUACGUUCCCGGGCCUUGUACACACCGCCCGUCACACCAUGGGAGUGGGUUGCAAAAGAAGUAGGUAGCUUAACCUUCGGGAGGGCGCUUACCACUUUGUGAUUCAUGACUGGGGUGAAGUCGAAACAAGGUA